rnacentral:rRNA from 1 species
AUUGAACGCUGGCGGCAGGCUUUACACAUGCAAGUCGAGCGAGCGGCGGACGGGUGAGUAAUGUCUGGGAAACUGCCCGAUGGAGGGGGAUAACUACUGGAAACGGUAGCUAAUACCGCAUACCAUCAGAUCUGCCCAGAUGGGAUUAGCUAGUAGGUGGGGUAAAGGCUCACCUAGGCGACGAUCCCUAGCUGGUCUGAGAGGAGGACCAGCCACACUGGAACUGAGACACGGCCCAGACUCCUACGGGAGGCAGCAGUGGGGAAUUUUGGACAAUGGGCGCAAGCCUGAUGCAGCCAUGCCGCGUGUGUGAAGAAGGCCUUCGGGUUGUAAAGUACUUUCAGCAGGGAGGCGUUACCCGCAGAAGAAGCACCGGCUAACUCCGUGCCAGCAGCCGCGGUAAUAC